AGAUCGAUAGCACCCUGAAUACACUUGAUCUGGCCAGUCUCAGAAGCUAAGCAGAGAUGGGCUGGCCAGUACAUGGAUGGGAGUCCAAGGACCUGGUGGCCACAUCUG
rnacentral:rRNA from 1 species